rnacentral:ncRNA from 1 species
AAAUCAUCAUCGAGCGAUGACAACCAGUAGGUGGACUUGGAAGUAACCAUCCUUUGAAAAAAGCAUAAUAGCCUACUGGUCUAGCUCCAUGGCACCAAAAAUAUGUCAGGGCUUAA